UACGUAGGGAGCUAGCGUUGUUCGGAAUUACUGGGCGUAAAGCGCACGUAGGCGGCUUUGUAAGUUAGAGGUGAAAGCCCGGGGCUCAACCCCGGAAUUGCCUUUAAGACUGCAUCGCUUGAAUCCGGGAGAGGUGAGUGGAAUUCCGAGUGUAGAGGUGAAAUUCGUAGAUAUUCGGAAGAACACCAGUGGCGAAGGCGGCUCACUGGACCGGUAUUGACGCUGAGGUGCGAAAGCGUGGGGAGCAAACAGG
rnacentral:rRNA from 1 species